UAGGGAAUCUUCCGCAAUGGACGAAAGUCUGACGGAGCAACGCCGCGUGAGUGAAUAAGGAUUUCGGUUCGUAAAACUCUGUUGUUAGGGAAGAAAAAAUGUAUAGUAACUAUAUACAAAAGAGACGGUACCUAACCAGAAAGCCACGGCUAACUACGUGCCAGCAGCCGCGGUAAUACGUAGGUGGCAAGCGUUGUCCGGAAUUAUUGGGCGUAAAGCGCGCGCAGGUGGUUUAGAAAGUCUGAUGUGAAAGCCCACGGCUCAACCGUGGAGGGUCAUUGGAAACUAAUAAACUUGAGUGCAGGGGAGAAAAGUGGAAUUCCUAGUGUAGCGGUGAAAUGCGUAGAGAUUAGGAGGAACACCGGUGGCGAAGGCGGCUUUUUGGCCUGCAACUGACACUGAGGCGCGAAAGCGUGGGGAGCAAACAGG
rnacentral:rRNA from 1 species